UAACUUGAAGGUUGUGCCAUUCAUUGCCGUGUUACGUUGCUGUCAUGUCACCACUAGGUGACACAAGUGUGCGUUAUGUUGUCAAAAGCCCCAACUAGUCGACUUGAGUCUUCAUGCAAAACCCCGGAAGCCAGGAGUGGAUGAAGUACCUGAAAGCCGCGAUGCAAGAGGGCGGCGACGAGGGUUACGUGUUGGACCUCAGCGAUGAGCGGGGUCCUGGGAAACAGCAGCCCUGUCUUCGGCAGGCUGUGGCAGCCCCCCGUCACUCAGCUGGACCCAAGGUCAGGCCCCAGGAGGACGCGAGGGGAUCAGGAUUUAGCAGAGGGGGAAGAGAUUAGGCCCACAUCCGCUCGCCCCUGAUCCAUCCAUGGUCUGGGAAGGGGCAUACGGAAGACCACUAAGAUGCAAUGUUACAGCUGUAAUGAAAAAGACUUGCAAGAGAACAUACAGUUGGUAAAUUGCUUUAACCAAGGAAAUUGAAACUGAACAAAAAAUUGUUUUUUUCUUACAGUAUUCAGUACAUUUGGACAAAUUCGGUUUAUAAGGGUUGGGAAACUCUUUUUUUUUGUAAAAUGUCCCCAUCUCUCCUAUACUUACCCUUACACACACAUACACACAGACAAACACACAGACACACACACACAAACAUACACCACUAUAUUUUCUGGCAAAUCAAGUGUGCUUGUGCCGACAGGUCUAAAAGUUGAUUCAAAUGAGGACGUCCAAACAAUUAAGCUGUCCAUGCCAAAAUAAAUCCAUCAACCCACAGUUAACAGUCAAUUCAUUACUGUCAAAACAUUCCUCACUUGCUUGUUGGUUGUGCAGAAUAAAUCUUUAGCACUCCAGGAUUUAUUGGUGCAAUCUGU